CCUACGGGAGGCAGCAGUGGGGAAUAUUGGACAAUGGGGGGAACCCUGAUCCAGCCAUGCCGCGUGUGUGAAGAAGGCCCUCGGGUUGUAAAGCACUUUCAGUGAGGAAGAACGCCUGGUGGUUAAUACCCAUCAGGAAAGACAUCACUCACAGAAGAAGCACCGGCUAACUCCGUGCCAGCAGCCGCGGUAAUACGGAGGGUGCGAGCGUUAAUCGGAAUUACUGGGCGUAAAGCGCGCGUAGGUGGCUUGAUAAGCCGGUUGUGAAAGCCCCGGGCUCAACCUGGGAACGGCAUCCGGAACUGUCAAGCUAGAGUGCAGGAGAGGAAGGUAGAAUUCCCGGUGUAGCGGUGAAAUGCGUAGAGAUCGGGAGGAAUACCAGUGGCGAAGGCGGCCUUCUGGACUGACAUUGACACUGAGGUGCGAAAGCGUGGGUAGCAAACAGGAUUAGAUACCCUGGUAGUC
rnacentral:rRNA from 1 species